rnacentral:rRNA from 1 species
AGGGGGCCCCCCCGAGUGGGGCCUGCGGCUUUUUUUUUCUCUCCACGGGAAAACUCUCCCCGCCCCGACACCCUGGGGAUUGAGAGAUUGAGAGCUCUUUCUUGAGUCUCUGGGUGGGGGGGCGUGGGCGUUCUCAUUUGGGGGGGAGCUUUUUCUGGGUUAUUCCCCUAACACGCAAGACUCUCUCCUACACAAUAUAGACCGGAUAUCUUGUGCCGGGUCACUUCUUCUAGGGACAAGCGGUGUUCACCCACCCUCACUAAAGCAAUAACUAGCCUGUGAUGCCCUUCCAUGUAUGGGGCGGCCCGCGCGCUCCCCUCACUGAAUCGAUGUGCUUGACCCAUUGCCCCUCGGCAUUGGGAAACCCUAACCCAUCCUACCUGAUUCGGAUCUGGAAUUGCAAUUUGUUCCCUUGACCCUUGAAUUCCCAAUUCCUGUGAGUCAUCAGUUCACGUUGAUUACGUAUCUGCUCUCUGUACACUCCACACGUCGCUGCUCGCUACUGAGCCGUGAAUGAGA